rnacentral:rRNA from 1 species
GUUAGGAAUCUUCCACAAUGGGGGCAACCCUGAUGGAGCAACACCGCGUGCUGGAUGAAGGCCUUCGGGUCGUAAACAGCUUUUGUAUACGAAGAAUAUGACGGUAAUAUACGAAUAAGGGUCGGCUAACUACGUGCCAGCAGCCGCGGUCAUACGUAGGACCCAAGCGUUAUCCGGAGUGACUGGGCGUAAAGAGUUGCGUAGGCGGCUUUUUAAGCGAGUAGUGAAAUCUGGUGGCUCAACCAUCAACACAUUGCUCGAACUGAUAGGCUUGAGAAUGGUAGAGGUAGUUGGAAUUUCUUGUGUAGGAGUGAAAUCCGUAGAUAUAAGAAGGAACACCAAUGGCGUAGGCAGACUACUGGACCAUUUCUGACGCUGAGGCACGAAAGCGUGGGGAGCGAACGGGAUUAGAAACCCUGGUAGUCC